rnacentral:rRNA from 1 species
UACAGGGGGGGCAAGCGUUGUUCGGAAUUACUGGGCGUAAAGGGCUCGUAGGCGGCCAACUAAGUCCGACGUGAAAUCCCAAAGCUUAACUUUGGAACUGCGUCGGAUACUGGAUGGCUUGAAUUCGGGAGAGGGAUGCAGAAUUCCAGGUGUAGCGGUGAAAUGCGCAGAUAUCAGGAGGAACACCGGUGGCGAAGGCGGCCUUCUGGACAGUGACUGACGCUGGAGACGCGAAAGCGUGGGGAGCAAACAGG